UCCUUUUCUCCCCCACAAACCAAGCUCUCUCUCUCUUCUACCAUGGCAGCCACCACCGGCUAUUGCCGAUCUCCCUCACCGGAGCAUUGCCGGACAAACCCUCGCGCCACCGGGCUUGCCUUGAUGAGGUGAACCCAUUUUUCUAGUUUCCCCUCUCCCUUAGCCGUCCUAUAAGCCACUAUAGCCACUUCUUUUACCGGCCGGAGCAAGCUUUUGCCGCCGCCGUUCCGGCUUCAUAUCUCACUUCCACUGCCGACCUCUGCCGUCCCCGGAUGCGCGUCGACGGGGAACAUGUUAUGUUGCCGACGUCGCCGCGUUUCGGCCACCGGAGGGCCGGCGCCCCGCUCGUCCUCUCUUCUCCCUCUCUCGCUGCCAACGGAAGAGGAGAAGAAAGAAGACGGGAGGAAGGAGAAGAAAAAGAAAAAGAAACACUGACAGAGUCAUUUUGGAGUUCUUGCCAAAGCUGGGAGUUCAAUCACAUAAGUUAGUUUCAUUCUAACUUAAUUCUCAAGUCUAGAUUAGAUAGAUGGUUUAGGUCUAUAGCCAAACAUUAGAGUUAAGUCAUUCUAUAGCUUUUGCUGUAUUAGUUAGCCACAAGUUUUUAAAUACCCAUAUAUUUUGUAAUAAUAUAUCCUUUGGAGUCUUAUUCAAACGUAUGCAAUGAAGAUCCAGAUUGUUGAACAUGUACCAAUUUACUAAUCCA